GACGAACGCUGGCGGCGUGCCUAAUACAUGCAAGUAGAACGAGUUGCGAACGGGUGAGUAACGCGUAGGUAACUGCCUCAUAGCGGGGGAUAACUAUUGGAAACGAUAGCUAAUACCGCAUACUGUGAGAUGGACCUGCGUUGUAUUAGCUAGUUGGUGGGGUAACGGCUCACCAAGGCGAAGAUCCCUAGAUGGUCUGAGAGGAUGACCGGGCACACUGGAACUGAGACACGGUCCAGACUCCUACGGGAGGCAGGAGUGGGGAAUAUUGCACAAGGGGCGCAAGCCUGAUGCAGCCAUUCCGCGUGUGUGAAGAAGGCCUUCGGGUUGUAAAGUACUUUCAGCGGGGAGGCGUUACCCGCAGAAGAAGCACCGGCUAACUCCGUGCCAGCAGCCGCGGUAAUUC
rnacentral:rRNA from 1 species